CAAUUAGUCAAAUUCAUCAUAUCACUAACAUUAUCACUUCCAAAAAAUGGAUUCUUCAAAAUUUAAAAUGUACACCAAAUCAAAAUAUAAACCACUUCAAUAACAUAAAUACAUGCAACCAAACAUUCAUCUACUAUAUAUUGCAAGAUAUAGUUUUAAUUACAACAUCAAGUUCUUGUCCUAUUCAAAAUACCAUACAAUAAUCAUUAAUUUUUCUUUUUAGGUCCUACAAUUCCUGUGUAUGGUGUCCUCAAGGCUUGACUCUUAUAACGCAUUCUUCUUCCCAUCCUCACAUAGGUCUUCAAUUGUGGUUCGGUGUUGCACAUUACAUCUGGUGUGUUCUGCGACAUUCCACCAUGUUCGGUCUGAGAAAUAAUGACGAACCAUUGCUCAUCCAUCAAGUACUCGUUCAAAGUGCAAACAUACAUUGUUGAAAAAUAAUGACGAACCGUCAACUACUCAACCAAAAACAAAACAAAUGUAAACACAAAAGGAAAUAACAAAAAAAACCCAAAAACUAAGAACCAAGAACCGAAUACCCUAACCAAAAACCAAAUACCCUAACCACAACAUCAACGAAAACCGACAACAAGAACGCAACAACGCAAGAACCUAAGAACCCAAACCCAAAACCAUAUCAGACCCAACAACGCAUUUACCUUGCUCCAACGAAGCUUUUGUUCGUGACUUCCCAUCUCCACCAAUCACCGAGAACGGAGAACCACUAACCAACCGUCAAACAGAGGAAGCAGGGGGAGAACGACGUAGGGAACAACAAAAUGUGAGAGAGAGUAUGAAAUCUGAGACAAAAACAGGCAAAGGGUAUAUUUGGAAAGGAAAAUUUUUCAAACUCUUUUC
rnacentral:lncRNA from 1 species